CGCAACGAGCGCAACCCUUAUCCUUUGUUGCCAGCGAUUCGGUCGGGAACUCAAAGGAGACUGCCAGUGAUAAACUGGAGGAAGGUGGGGAUGACGUCAAGUCAUCAUGGCCCUUACGACCAGGGCUACACACGUGCUACAAUGGCGCAUACAAAGAGAAGCGACCUCGCGAGAGCAAGCGGACCUCAUAAAGUGCGUCGUAGUCCGGAUUGGAGUCUGCAACUCGACUCCAUGAAGUCGGAAUCGCUAGUAAUCGUGGAUCAGAAUGCCACGGUGAAUACGUUCCCGGGCCUUGUACACACCGCCCGUCACACCAUGGGAGUGGGUUGCAAAAGAAGUAGGUAGCUUAACCUUCGGGAGGGCGCUUACCACUUUGUGAUUCAUGACUGGGGUGAAGUCGUAACAAGGUAACCGUAGGGGAACCUGCGGUUGGAUCACCUCCUUACCUUAA
rnacentral:rRNA from 1 species